CCACCCGAUCCCCUCCUUCCCCGCCCCCUCCAUGACCGCCGCCGCCCCCUGGUGCGGGCGCACCUCCCGCCGCCGGCCACCCCCACCCUGGAGCACACGAACGCAGUCGGUUGCCACGCUACCUCCCGCUCCACCCUCCGCUACGGCGGCCGCCUGCUGCCUUCUAUCUCCGCGCACGCACCGCCCUCCUCGCAUGGAUCCACCCCUUGUGCCACCCGAUCCUGGGUCCGGUCGCUGCGCCGCCCUUGGAUCCGGCCGCCGUGCUGCCCCCGCGACCGGAUCCAGCCGCCGUCAACACACGCUGCCACCUCCUACUGCUGCCCGCCAUCAGUCGACUUUCGAUGCUGGUGAGCUAGAAGGUGCAAGUAGGAAGCUACCCGUGCAUAAACAAUGGAGAUUUUUUUGCAAAAAAAGGGGUUGUCCGUUCUAGUCGAAGUAGACCAAGCUAUGGAAGAACAGGGUCUCACUUGUGUGUGCUUUUUAGUUCAUCUUCUAUGGAUGAUUGUACCGCUGUUGUUGAUUUGUUGGUGACAUGUGAUGUAUUUGCUUGAUGUAAUGCCUGAGAACAAAGUUCUGCUAUGCCUGAGAAUAUGUGCAGUACGUGGCUGGUGUUUAUGCAAAUUUUAGUCAAAAAAAGAAUUUUUUGAUGAUAUGCA